rnacentral:RNase_P_RNA from 1 species
GGAUGCGGAUGAAGAAUCGCCUCUCCCUUGACCGGGAGGGGAGGAAAGUCCGGACUCCGCAGGGAAGGAUGAUCCCCAACAGGGAUUUUCCCCCGCUGGCCGGGGGAACAGGACAGUGUCACAGAGAACAGACCGCCCCGCUGCCGGCAACGGCGGCGGAGCAAGGGUGAAAAGGUGAGGUAAGAGCUCACCGUCCCGACCGGCGACGGCAGGGACUGAGACAAACCCCAUCCGGAGCAAAGCUAAACAGAGGGCGCUUGAGGCUUUCCCGGCCGAAGCCCUUGGGUUAGCUGCUGGAUCCCGCCGGCAACGCCGGGACCAGAUAAAUGGUUCUUCACGACAGAAUCCGGCUUACAGUCCGCAUCCUGCU